rnacentral:misc_RNA from 1 species
CACCGCCGAUGUCAUCAAUCCACUACAAUGGAUCAAGAGUUAGACCAUAAACUUGUAUAUAUAAUUCAAUGAUUUUCACUCCUUUUUAGAGAAACUAAUACCUUUAAGCUUUAAGGCCAUAUUUACCAACAAUAUCUUCUUACACAAUAUUACACAACUAGAAACAAAUUAUUCAGGAAAACCUGAUACAUUAAAUAUUGCAAAGCGCAGCUAACAAUUUUUAGGAAUUUGAAGUAGAGAAGUUCAUUAUACUACCUGCUAACUCAAAAAAAUCUUACUUCUAUUGCCCAUGUAAAUAAAAACAAAUCAUUGAUAUGAAUUUAAUAAGCAAUAUUAAAAGCUUUUGAUGUCUAAUCACAGUCUUUAUUGGUCUUAAGGUAUGCACUACAUUGAUAUGUGUGUAUAUAAUUGCUGUCAAUCACUGAACAUGGUGAAAUAUAGUCAAAGCAGGUAAUUGUGCAGUAGUCAAAGACAAUUUUGAAAUAAUAUAUGAUCUUUUCCAAAAGUGGCAACAUAAUUUCAGGUUUAACACUGUUCCAUUGGAAUUUGGAAGUAGGGAUGAAAAGGGGAAAUUUUAAGUAUCAAGUUCAUGUACUGAAACUAAGUGCCACUAAAGUCACUUUUCCUUCUCAAGCUAUAGGGACAGCAGUAAAUUACCAAUGGUAAUAGAAAGCAAUUUGGAUGAUGAAACAAACAAACAUUCAUUAAAGUUGAAUCAUCUUGUUUUUCUCCUAUUUCCAACACUGAACUGCUCAUUAUCAAAAUCUGCCAUAAUUUCAAUUAUAACCAUGCAUGUUCAUGCAUACACUUCUCCCAUUUGAAUUUAAAUAGAAGGAAUUUAGUAGGUAAAUAACAAUAAAAUUGCAAAAUCUAUUUGCAAGAGAACAGCCAAGUCUAAACAGAUGCAAAUCCUUUCAGACUCAAAACAAAAGAGUCACAAACCUUAGAAAUUGACUUGUCAUAAGU